UCCCAUUGGCCGGCGCCUCCGCCCCGCCGCCGCCCCUCGGAAAAUAAUAAACAAUCGAGUAAAAUGCGGCGCGGGGCGGGGGUCCGGGCGGGCUCCGCGCCCCUCGCUCCGGGCGCUGCCUGCAGCCCUGCCGCCAGAAAAGCCUUUCCUGAAGGUGCCGUGGCGCUCGCACGGAAAUUGCCUUCAGCCAGAAGCUACUGCUGCACCGAGGACCAAGCAAAGCCAUCUCUCGGCUUUCCCCGAUCCCGUUGUCUCAAAGCUAAGUUGUGCCAGGCUGCAGGUGCCCUACAGAUGCGGGUUCGAGGCGGUGGAGAGCUGUGUGCGGUGGGACGGGAAGGGACUGGGUGGGUACGUGUCUGGCAGCCAGGUGUGCCAUUCCAGUGUGCCAAGUGCCUAGAGGCAGGGCACCGACAGCGAGACCUGUAAGCCACACCUCUGAAACAAUGUCAGUGUCGGCUGUCUUCACGGGACAAAAGCGUCCCCGAGGUGACCGUCCUGUCCGCAUGGUGCUGGGCAGAGAUGCAUCCUCAAUCCUUGCUUCGUUGUGGUGGUGCCUACACAGCACAGCCCCACAAUAACUACCUCUCACAGCCCUGCUUCCCUCUACCUGCAAACAGAAGGCGCGCUUGUGCAGCAGGGGAUUUAAUGGGGGAUCAGGUGACGAGAAUGACGGCUGCGGGAAAGGAUUUACUUUUUCUCGGGCUCGCAGCCUGGCCUCUCCUUUUGACAGCAGGUGCCCAAUACGGCCUAUUUCGCUUCCUCCAAAUAAUUAAUUAUUUUCUCCCGUACGUGGCCCCUGGAGGAAGAAGUCUAAGCACCUCCCUCAUGCUGUCAUCCUGUAUUUCCAGUGAUCAGAGCACUUGUUCAGGAGCUGAAGAUGUGGCUCCUGGUCCUCUUCCCAGGACUUUGUGUUUUCUUCUCUGACAGAUGUUUGAUGUAAAGUACAUAGAGCACACUUUCAAAAGGGGACUGAAAUCCAAGGCUGCUCCCCUCCCUUGCCCAUGGCAAUGUUAUUAUUGCUAGGUCAUGGCCUCUCCUUGAUUGCUCCCGUGAAUCCCGAAGCCCCACCCUCUCCCCCAAGCAGCAAUACGGGUUCAACAGGCUGGUUGGAAAUGGAGUGCGUGUCAGGCUAGCCUGCCUCCCUGGUAAAAUACUCUUCGGGAAGGUCAGAGCCAGGCAUCUAAACCCCGGCGGGCAGAAGGAGAAAAUGACCUCGUGUUCCUGGUGUGAGGGGCACUGCAAGGCACACAGGGGGAAGGAACUCUCCCCCGGGGAGUUGAGGAAGGGUUCAAAGGGGCCGGUGAAGUGUUAAGCAAAAGCAGUCGGCGGCUUAGCACACGGUGGAGAAGUCGACUGUAAGCAUUUGCAGCUGGUUCUCUCUCUCCUGCCUCGGAGGAACUGGGAAACUGCUGACUCAGGAGCUGCAUCGAGUCGGACGAAUGGGAAGGGGCUCAUGUUUCCCGAGUGCCUGUAUGCGCCGCAGAGCGACGGGAUAGCGCCGGGCACCUCCUACCUGCUGUCCCGUCUUGGAAAAGCGAUGCCAGCAGCGUGCUCGAAGAAGCCAGAGCCUGUUGGAAUGUUGGGACUAAUCAUGUGAGAAAAGAUCCUGGAGUGAUGAGGCAGCAUAUUUCCCAUGUCUGAGGUCAGGAUUUGUUCUGUGAAGCUGACCUUUAAAACAGCCUGAAAAUGAGGAACGUGGCACCAGAGAGCAGAGCAGGAAGCCUGAAAUUAUUACUUCACAGACAUUUUUGAGUUGGAAGGUGCCUCUGGAGAUCAUCCAGUCUGAACCCUCUGCCAAAGCAGGGUCACCUAGAGCGGGUGACACAGGAACGUAUCCGGGUGGUUCGGAGUCUCUCCAGAGAAGGGCUCUCCACAACCUCCACGGGCAGCCUAUUCCAGUAACAUAAGGAAGUUUUACCUCAUGUUGAGGUGGAACUUACUGUGUUCUAGUUCAUGUCCACUGCUCCUCAUCCUGUCACUGGGCAGCACUGAAAGUAGUCCGCAUCAUCCUCGUGCUUUUGAAAUAGAUACCAAACGGGACUUUCUGAAAGGGAUCUCAGCCCGGGCUAGUACCGUGUGUUUGCCUGACUUCGUUCCCAGCCUGGCGGUGACACUGGGCUGUAUUUUUACCCUCUCCUUGCCAGGCCGCCCCUCCCCGCGCCGCCGCCGCCCGGCCGCGGAGCGCGCCCGCCAUCUUGUGGGCUCUGCCCGCCUUGCAGGCCGCCCUCAGCCCAACCCCGGCGGCGCUCGGGGCUUCAGCGGGAGUUUUCCCGAGCAGAUUUUAAAAAUGGAAGAUAACUGGGACUGGAACAGGUUUCUCAGAGAAGGAUGCCCCAUCCCCUGGCUCAAGGCCACGUUGGGUGGGCCUCUAAACAACCCGGUCUAGUGGAAGAUGUCCCUGCCCAUGGCAGGGGUGUGGGAACUUUAAGGUCCCUUAUAUCCCAAGCUAUUGUAUGAUUCUGAUUCUGUGAUUUUGCAAACAAGGGUAGGAGAAAGCCGAAAGCAGUGUCCUAAGACAGGCAUUCCCUUUUAUUGCUGGGAAGAUUGCAGAGUGAGUGAAUGUGUUUCCAGAGCCCCAGCAGGUGCAAGUCCUGUGGGGAACCUGGGCUAUCUGGAUGACUCUUGUUAUCCUAAAGACAGGUAUCCCCACAAAUCCUUGCCAGUCUAGGAUUGAAUAGGCCCACCCUGCUAAUGUUUUACCAUCAGAGAGGUCAGCAUGUGCAGAUUCUGAGGAAGAUGGGCAAAGAACAGGGAAUGCGUUUUGACUGGAAGUGCCUCUGAAUUACAGAAGCAAUGAGUGUGGUUGAUGAGAAAUUGCCUGCUUGGCACUGAUACAACAGCCUGCUGAAGAGAGAGCGAUGCAAGUGCAUGCACACUCCUCUAGAAAAGAGUGAGGAACAAAAAUUUUUCCUCCCCUGAGGCAAGAGAAGAGAUCCCAACACACAGUGGAACCGGAUGAUGGCGUAUGAUGCGCCCAAGUACAAAAGUAUUCCUACAGAAUAGGAGCUGGCUUUCCUUUCUCAGUCAAUCUUUCAUGAUAAUUUACUGUUUAUCCUGCCUUAGCCUGGACUCUCUGUUUUGCCUGGCUAAUGGAACAGUGGUGUCUUAAUUCACUUAAAAUGCAGCAUUGUCUGUUACUGUCUGUUGUCACUGACGGUAGAUGCACCAAAGUUAGGGGAGAGGGACCCACAAAUCCUGACAGCUUCCCUAACAUCUCCCUUCAACAGGAGCAUCUCAACCCAAGUGAAACAGUAAAAUCUCCCCACAACCUGUAGCACAACAGGGUUUUGUACACCCCCCCCCCCCUUCAAGGUGGGGGACCUCCCCUUCCAUGGGAGAGCUGUGGAGUAAAGUUAAUAGGAAGAUGGAAGCUUGUGUCUGUUUUAAGCCAAGAAAUUAGAAGCUCUGCCAAAACUCAACUUUGCCCUGCUUUUACCCUCAGCUUACCUUGUUAAUAUGCUAAAAAUAUUCAAUCAUCUUUCUGUUUGAAGGACAGGAGCUAUUAGGGUCCAGCUUCUCUUUUGUAAGGACCCAUCUUCCACCCUAGUCAAGUACCUAAAUACAUUGGAGGAUUUUGACCCAAAGGCUGAGACUUCUGAAGCUCAUUUCUUAUUUAGCACAUAGGCAGGAGCUUGUGGCAUUAACAGCUCAAUGGCUUCAGCUCUAAAUGAACUGGCAAAGGUAUUCUCAGCCCAGAAAGUUUCACUAAAAAAAUUUCCAGCUGUAGUAGUUGAUCAGAGAAGCAGUGUCUGCCCCUCCUCUUUCCCUUUCCACAGCACUGUUUUCCAGCCUCUCAUUCCCCAGUCUGUCCAUGCAUCCAGGGUUGCCCCAUUCCAGGUGCAGAAUCUGCCACUUCCUUCACUGAACUUCCUAUGGUUGGUGAUUGCCCAGUCCUCUGAUUUGUCAAGGUCUCUCUGCAGGGUCUCCCUGCUCUCGAGGACUUCAGCACAUCCUCCCAAUUUAGUAUCAUCAGCAAACUUACCCAGGAUCCCUUCAUACUCUGCAUUCCAGUCAUUUAUGAAGAUAUUGAGGAGCACAGGGUCUAAGAUGGAGCCCUGUGGAACCCCAGUAGUCAGGCCACCAGUCCGAUGUCACCCCAUUCCCUAUAGCCCUUCGUGCCUGACUGGUGAGCCAGUUGCUCACCCAUGGCAUGAUGUGUUUAUUCAGCUCUGUGCUGGACAUUUUGUCCAGAAGGAUACUGUGAGAGAGUAUUGAAAGCUUUACUGAAAUUCAAAAUGAUUACAUUAACUGGUCAGCUAGGUGGGUUGCCUUGUUGUAAAAUGAAGUUUGACAAGAAGGACCUUGCCCUCAGGAAGCCAUGCUGGCUGGGACCGAUGAAUGGUGGUUUCCUGCUUGGUCGCUCUCUCCUUGCAAACCUUGUUACUCUUCCAGACCAAGUCACUUAUGACACUUUGCUUCUGAUUCAUCAUUGCUGCCUCAUUUUGGAAAACUGAAAUAAAUGCUGGACCAAACCAGGCAGAACUGCAGGGCUGCCUGGGUGCUGUGCUGUGGAGGAGGGUGGUUAAAUAGCAGGCAGCUGAGUGUGACAGAAGGAGGAGCUGAGGUGGAGGAGUGGGAUGGAGGGUGCCCAAGCAGCACCGUACAGCCCACCAAGGACAAGCAAAGGGAUGGAAGGCAGUCCCUGUUCAGACAGGGAACACUAGUUAGUCUGAACAGGAAAAGGGAAUCUGGCAAGGACAAGGGCACGUUUUGUAAUGGUACAGGGGACCCCUGGAAAGACCGUGAAAUGAGAACAAUCAAUUAACAAGCUGCUGUGGCUUCAGAAAAGCCAUUAUAGACCUACUGGUGUAAUGAGCACAUCUGAUGCACAGAAGCUAUUUAACCUUCAGCCUCUUGCCUUAUAAAGCACCUCUGGGGCAGUGGGUAAAGCUGUUAAUUAUUAAGGUCAACCCUAGCAGACAGAGGUGUCCUCAAGUAUGGGUCGUUGUGACACACUCAGAUAAUUUCUCCAUUAUGUCAAUAACUAAUUUCCUGAAUUGUUCAAGAAUUGACAGAUUAGCAUCCAUUAACCAAGUCUUAACUCAUGGCUACGGGAGCAGUUACAGGCCACAGGGACAGCAGAACCCAUUUGUAACUCCUCAAGCACAUGUGAUAGAUACACACAGACAGUACUGCAGCAGCUUGCUGUUAGUAAAACAAAUAACCAAGGUGUGUAAAAAGGCUGGGCAGGCAGUGACAGGCACUGGCUUGAACAGAUGUCUUGUCCUCAGGUGCUCUGAGAGCAUGGGAUGAAGUCACUAUGACUUUUAAAGAACUGUAUUGAGGAAUUGUAAAUUAGCAGAAUCACAACUAAACCAAAAUACCCAUUAUAUUCACUACCAAAAGGGCUCUUUCCUUUUUUUUUAUUGGGGAAAAAAAAAUCCACACAGCAAACA